GUGGUUUAAAGACGCGUGUAUACAAGUGCAUGUGUGGACUCUCACCAGGCAUUCAAGCAGUCGGGCGGGACGAGAGAUGAUGAUGAGGAGUUUCUUCACCAGCUCAGUGAUGAAGAAGUCUCUCCAGGUUCUCCUGCAGCUCAUAGAAGUAAACAGUGGUGAUGAGGCCUUCGCGCGAUUUGGUCAGGCAGUUUCGGGACAGCUCAGCAAUCUGGUGGUGGAUGAAACUGAGGACCCCGUCGGCCAGCGGCAACACGUUCUCGGGUGAGUAGGACUCGAUGAACUCAGCCAGGCGCUCCUCCAUCUGAGCCGUGGCCUGGACACGACACACAGACAGCGUUCAUAAGCAUUUUUAUGGUUGCAGGAAGGUGAGCGCCCGGGACUAUAAAAAGACAGAGAAGAAGAAAGUGAAGGACAAAACGAAGAGGAAGAGCAAGCUGAAGUGAAGAGGGAUUCUCGCGAAAUUAGACUGAUGAGGUGUCAUGAAACAUUAAAUGCUAUCAAAAUAAGAAGCAUGCAAUUACAAACAUCUCUUCAUGUACUAUUUUGCACAUAAUUUCAAAUGACAUCAUACAAACCAAUUCUGUUGCUUUUUCCACAUUUAAGGGGAAAAUUUUCAUUACCGCAAUGUGUCCAUGACUGGAUUUGGGUUCUUUGACAUGGAAAUAUUUAUUAUUAAAAAAUCUAUAAAAUAUAAAG